UACAGAGGUCUCAAGCGUUGUUCGGAAUUAUUGGGCGUAAAGGGUGCGUAGGCGGUUUUGUAAGUCUUGUGUGAAAUCUUCAGGCUCAACUUGAAGACUGCACGAGAAACUGCAGGGCUUGAGUGUGGGAGAGGUGAGUGGAAUUCCUGGUGUAGCGGUGAAAUGCGUAGAUAUCAGGAGGAACACCUGUGGCGAAAGCGGCUCACUGGACCACAACUGACGCUGAUGCACGAAAACUAGGGGAGCAAACAGG
rnacentral:rRNA from 1 species